CGUGGCGGACGGGUGAGUAACGCGUGGGUAACCUGCCUCAUACAGGGGGAUAACGGUUAGAAAUGACUGCUAAUACCGCAUAAGCGCACAGUACCGCAUGGUACGGUGUGAAAAACUCCGGUGGUAUGAGAUGGACCCGCGUCUGAUUAGCUAGUUGGUGGGGUAACGGCCCACCAAGGCGACGAUCAGUAGCCGACCUGAGAGGGUGGCCGGCCACAUUGGGACUGAGACACGGCCCAA
rnacentral:rRNA from 1 species